CAGGGGAAACCAACCCUCAAUUCAACUACUUCUUUGAGAACUUUCUCAAAAAAAGGCACAAUAAAUACAACCCGGCCAAGUGUAGAAAAGCACUGCUUGCAAGAGGAAACUCAUAUGUUUCCCAUUUCUACGUUACCUUGAUUCAACGUUGAAGCUGCGUGACAUACUUUUCCUCAUAAAAUGAUUUAAUCUUUAUCCCCCUAAAUCCCAAAUUGUGUCUUACUUUGUGUGGACUAUAUGCCCACCAAGCGUUUGCUUUAUUGCCUAGACGGGUCUAAGUAUGCGAACUCGAGGAAUUUCGUCUCCCCACUUAAUGCAGCAUCCCAAACCAUAUCAGUUGGCGUGGUUGAAGAAAGGAGGUGAAGUUAGCGUGUCGAAGCGUGCUCUGGUGACGUUUUCUAUUGGCUCACGAUACAGAGAUUUUGUUUGGUGUGAUGUUGUUAUAAUGGAUGCAUGCCACUUGCUAUUGGGGAGGCCCUGACAGUUUGACAGGAGUGUGAGCCAUGACAGGAGGACCAAUAAAUACAGGUUCACGCAUAAGGGGUUAAAGAUUGUACUGGUUCCGAACAGAGACGGGGACGCUAACGAGCCCCGACCUGCGAAUCCGGCUUUCGCAACCAACUUGAUGUCCCUUACCCGGUUUCAGGAGGAGUUGCAUGAUGCAGAGUUUAUGUUUGCUCUCGUGGGCAGGGAGGUUGUGGAGGAGGGCGUUAUGUCUUGUGAGUCCUUACCGAUUUUGAAAGAAUUUUAAGAUGUCUUUCCUGAGAAACUGCCAAAUGGUCUACCACUCUUGCGGGAUAUCCAGCACCAUAUUGAUCUGCAACCUGGUGCGUCCCUUCCGAAUAGGCCACACUACAAGAUGAGCCUAGCUGAACAUGAGGAGUUAAGGAGACAAGUAGAGGAGCUGGUAUCGAAGGGGUUCAUUUGGGAGAGUAUGAGCCCGUGUGCUGUACCGGCACUUCUAGUGCCUAAGAAGGAUGGAUCAUGGCAUAUGUGUGUGGACAGUCGAGCCAUCAAUAAGAUAACGAUCAGGUAUCGUUUUCCCAUUCCUCGCUUGGAUGAUCUGUUUGACCAGCUGAGUGGUGCCAGGAUUUUUACUAAGCUGGACUUGAUGAGCGGUUAUCACCAGAUUCGGAUUCGUGUUAGAGAUGAGUGGAAGACCGCAUUCAAGACUAGGGAAGAGUUAUACAAGUGGCUGGUGAUGCCGUUUGGGCUGUCAAAUGCGCCGAGUACGUUUAUGAGAGUAAUGAAUCGGAUCCUGCGGCCUUUCAUUGGUAGGUGCGUGGUUGUGUAUUUUGAUGACAUUUUGAUCUACAGUCUCGACCCCGAGUAACAUCUAACCCACUUGCGCGAAGUACUUUUUGUCAUUCGACGCAAGAAAUUUUAUGCGAAGAAGUGUAUUUUUAUGAGGUCGGAAGUUUUUUUUUUUGGUUAUAUUGUUUCUGCUAAUGGCUUGAGGGUGGACUCGUCCAAGGUCGAGGCGGUCAGACAGUGGCCUAGGCCAGCGAACAUUACUGAAGUCAAGAGCUUCCAUGGAUUAGCCUCCUUCUACAGGUGGUUUAUUCCCCACUUUAGCAGUAUUAUGGCUCUCUUAACUGACUGCAUGAAGGGAGGUAGAUUCGAGUGGACUGAGGAGGCAGAAACGGCAUUCCAGAAGAUUAAGGAGGGUUUGACGACCGCCCCGAUUCUUGUCCUGCCUGAUUUUCAGCAGCCCUUUGAGCUGCAUUAUGAUGCAUCGAAGGUGGGGAUUGAAGCAGUCUGGAGCCAAAACAAAAGGCAAUUGUUUUUCAGCGAGAAGCUGAUGGGGGCGAAUGUGAGAUACAACACCUACGACGUGGAAUUCUAUGUUGUAGUACAUGCGGUGAAGCAUUGGCGACAUUAUCUUUUCCACAAGGAGUUCAUUUGUACACUAACCAUGAAGCCCUGAAGCACCUCCAUAGCCAGGAUAAGGUCUCAGCUCGUCAUGCAUCAUUGGUGGCUUACCUAAAGCGUUUUACUUUCAUGGUAAAGCACAAAAGCGGAAUCACUAACCACGUUGCUGAUGCUCUUAGUCGAAGGCGAAGCAUUCUGAGCAGGAUGACAGUUGAGCUUCGCAUCUUGGCAUCACAGGAUACUGUUGGUCAUGUCGCUGGUUUGGGCCGUGAAACUGCAUCCGUCAAAAAGACCUUGCCAAAACACUGCAUUGUGGAUUUAUUGACCAAACUUCUCCUUGGCCAAGGCACGGCAAGACCUCAAACCCAGAAAACCAUUAGUUGCUUGCCUUUUUAUUUCGUGAUUGGUCAUGUUAGACAGAUUGGCAAGAAAGGAGAGGUCAGGUUGGAAACAUGGCAUUGUUUGCUUGGAGUUAAGGGCUGUCUGUAUUCUGUGGUAGAGAGCCUGAAUUAAGAGAUCAUCUUGUUAUUCACAUGCUGGGGGCUAUUUUUCUUUGGCCAAAUGUGGUGGCUAUUCAGGGAAGAGUGCGCUUACGAUAUUGGAGAUUGGCAAAUCGAUCUGAUGUUUGCUUCAGUUUUGAAAGGGAAGAAAUUGGAGAUUACUUUAAGAGAACGCUAUGUUAACUGGGAAGUAAGAACCUCCAUAUUGUUCCUCUAGAAGACUGAAGAUGGUGGGCUCACGCUGAUAUAACAUGUAAUAGAACUACAAGAGCAAGAGUUGCCUCUCUUUCCAGUUUUCAACAUAAAAUUGUCUGAUUACUCUUCUUUUUUUUUUUCCCCCUUUGAAUUAGACACAUUCGAGUGAUGUAAGGUUUGAGGCCAUGACUCUUGAGUCGUCACUUUUCAAUUCUAUUUGUGCAUAUUGUUUACUAAUGAAGAUUUGAUGCACUUUAAGAGAU